UACAGAGGUCUCAAGCGUUGUUCGGAUUCAUUGGGCGUAAAGGGUGCGUAGGCGGCGCGGUAAGUCGGGGUGUGAAAUCUUGGAGCUUAACUCCGAAACUGCAUUCGAUACUGCCGUGCUUGAGGACUGGAGAGGAGACUGGAAUUUACGGUGUAGCGGUGAAAUGCGUAGAUAUCGUAAGGAAGACCAGUGGCGAAGGCGGGGUCUCUGGAC
rnacentral:rRNA from 1 species